rnacentral:rRNA from 1 species
ACAGAGGUCCCAAGCGUUGUUCGGAUUCACUGGGCGUAAAGGGCGUGUAGGCGGUGCGGUAAGUCGGGCGUGAAAUCCCCGGGCUCAACCCGGGGCGGUCGUUCGAAACUGCCGUGCUAGAGUGCAGGAGAGGGAAGUGGAAUUCCCGGUGUAGCGGUGAAAUGCGUAGAUAUCGGGAGGAAGACCAGUGGCGAAGGCGGGUCUCUGGACAGUUCCUGACGCUGAGGCACGAAGGUCAGGGGAGCAAACGGGA